rfam:Vibrio coralliilyticus strain 58 chromosome I, complete sequence.
AGUCAAAAAAAGGCCCGAAGCGGAUAUUGCUUUGGGCCUAGGGGAAUGGCUCUUACAGAGCCUGCGCUAACUGGUUGAUAUUCGAUGAUUUAUCAUUAGGUAAAGUGUAGUACAUCAUCGUAGUUUCGCUAGGCA